GACGAACGCUGGCGGCGUGCUUAACACAUGCAAGUCGAACGAAGAGCGAUGGAAGCUUGCUUCUAUCAAUCUUAGUGGCGAACGGGUGAGUAACGCGUAAUCAACCUGCCCUUCAGAGGGGGACAACAGUUGGAAACGACUGCUAAUACCGCAUACGAUCCAAUCUCGGCAUCGGGACUGGAUGAAAGGUGGCCUCCAUUUAUAAGCUAUCACUGAAGGAGGGGAUUGCGUCUGAUUAGCUAGUUGGAGGGGUAACGGCCCACCAAGGCGAUGAUCAGUAGCCGGUCUGAGAGGAUGAACGGCCACAUUGGGACUGAGACACGGCCCAGACUCCUACGGGAGGCAGCAGGGGGGAAGCUUCCGCAAUGGACGAAAGUCUGACGGAGCAACGCCGCGUGAGUGAUGACGGCCUUCGGGUUGUAAAGCUCUGUUAAUCGGGACGAAUGGUUCUUGUGCGAAUAGUGCGAGGAUUUGACGGUACCGGAAUAGAAAGCCACGGCUAACUACGUG
rnacentral:rRNA from 1 species